UACGAAGGGGGCUAGCGUUGCUCGGAAUCACUGGGCGUAAAGCGCACGUAGGCGGACUCUUAAGUCGGUGGUGAAAUCCUGGAGCUCAACUCCAGAACUGCCUUCGAUACUGAGAGUCUCGAGUCCGGGAGAGUUGAGUGGAACUGCGAGUGUAGAGGUGAAAUUCGUAGAUAUUCGCAAGAACACCAGUGGCGAAGGCGGCUCACUGGCCCGGUACUGACGCUGAGGUGCGAAAGCGUGGGGAGCAAACAGG
rnacentral:rRNA from 1 species